rnacentral:rRNA from 1 species
AGAACGAACGCUGGCGGCAGGCCUAACACAUGCAAGUCGAACGCUCGUAGCAAUACGGGAGUGGCAGACGGGUGAGUAACACGUGGGAACAUGCCCUUCGGUUCGGAAUAACUCAGGGAAACUUGAGCUAAUACCGGAUACGAUCGAGAGAUGAAAGAUUCAUCGCCGAAGGAUUGGCCCGCGUCCGAUUAGCUAGUUGGUGAGGUAACGGCUCACCAAGGCGACGAUCGGUAGCUGGUCUGAGAGGAUGAUCAGCCACACUGGGACUGAAACACGGUCCAGACUCCUACGGGAGGCAGCAGUGGGGAAUUUUGCGCAAUGGGGGAAACCCUGACGCAGCAACGCCGCGUGGAGGAUGAAGCCCCUUGGGGUGUAAACUCCUUUCGAUCGGGAAGAUAAUGACGGUACCGAUAUAAGAAGCCCCGGCUAACUUCGUGCCAGCAGCCGC